AAUAACCUUAUUUUUCGUUUUUCCAUAUUCAACGUUUGACUAUUCGUCUUAUUUGAAAAUUUUUUGCGAUUAAUGUUUUUAUUAUUACUAGAUGAUAAAAUAUAAAUAGUACUUUAUAAGUGACUAAUUUUUUAAAUUUUUUACAAAUUUUUCAAAUAAGACGAAUGGUCAAACGUUGGACACGAAAAA
rfam:Oryza brachyantha chromosome 3, whole genome shotgun sequence.